rnacentral:tRNA from 1 species
UCUAUUAUGGCAGAUUAGUGCAUUGGAUUUAAACCCCAAUUAUAAAGUCCUUCUUUUUUUAGAA